rnacentral:rRNA from 1 species
UACGUAGGGUGCAAGCGUUAUCCGGAAUUAUUGGGCGUAAAGAGCUCGUAGGCGGUUUGUCGCGUCUGCUGUGAAAACCCGAGGCUCAACCUCGGGCCUGCAGUGGGUACGGGCAGACUAGAGUGCGGUAGGGGAGAAUGGAAUUCCUGAUGUAGCGGUGGAAUGCGCAGAUAUCAGGAGGAACACCGAUGGCGAAGGCAGUUCUCUGGGCCGUAACUGACGCUGAGGAGCGAAAGCGUGGGGAGCGAACAGG